rnacentral:lncRNA from 1 species
AAUCCAUCAUGUCAUAGUCAUACUAUAUCAAUCAAAUCAAUCAUGUUGAAAAUAGAGAAAAUCAAACAAAUCAUACUAUGCGCUAUCUUUCAUUUUAUUCUUUGCCCAAAGUCAUUUUAAGUUCCAUUUACUGAGGGUAAUACAGAUUCUAACUACCUAUGUGGAAUGUCCAGUUCAUUUUAUUUAUAAGAGCAAUUUGUGACUUGCCAAACCAAUAACACAUUUACAACUUGCCAAACCAUGACACAAUCUAUGACCAUUGUCGUGCCAACUACAAUGGUCCUACAUGUUAACUAUGGCCACGACCGUACUUCAACAAAGGUCCCAUAUCGCGUCACCACUCUCGUCAGAGGGUACACCGUCAUCCACAAGGAGCAGUCAUC